CAAUGAAUGCUGUAUGCCUAGUACAUACAAUAGACUUGGUUAAACGGAAAAUUAUAUGGAAAGAAGUAGCCUACCGGCGGAUGAUAUUAUUGACGACAGCGAUGGACAGACGGUAUUUUCCAAGAACAACAAUUAGAAUUGCCAGUGCGACCAGUAAAAGGACAAUACUUAUUGGGACGAGAACGUUGACCAACAUUGAUGAGUUGUCAUUGGCUACAUCGGUGGUAUACAACAUAGUUGUUUCUUCAGUGUUUACUUCGCAAGAGAGGAAAGUUGAUAAAACGG